AUCACAUCAGGAAGCUGGAUGUCAGAGACUAAAAAUGAAGCAAAAUUAAAUGCACCACAACUAGAGCAUAGAAAUCCUUACAAUUUUACUUCACUUUCAUUUAACAUAUCCCAUUUAACAGGCAUCCUCCAUUAUUUCAGCAGCAUGAGAAGAGCAUGGCAUGUACAAACAUGCAAGUGUGCUCCAGUGCAUUUCAAGAGAACAUCAAACAGAAGCAAGAUGUAACACAGCAUGGAAUAAAUCCCAGGGCUUACAGACCCUACAUUCCUAAAAGGACCUUCAGGUGCUGUUUCUGCAGAGCUACUGUCUAGUCAGUGGAUAUCUAGCAGAGGGUUCUUCUGACACAGGUCUGUACCAGGACACCACUGCAUUCAGCAGCCCAGAUCAAUUCCAUAAGUGAAUAUCAAAUCUCUACUGGCAGCUUUGCCAAUGUCUUACUGGGGCUUUGAACAGGUUACAGACUGGGACACAAGUAUUACUGCAACCUCAAUAGUGCAUUCUUGCAGGGACAAACACUGCUCCUCUUCAUCCUUAGGCCAGCUAAGCUGAGAGCUGAAGCAGGACUAAAGAGAAGUAAAAAGCCCCCAGGAACAAGCUGUCCAGCCAGACUGCAAUAAAGCAGGACAGAGAUCCAGGUGCUUUCAAUCUGAAUCCAUCCUACUGGCCAAGCACAAACUGGCACUUACAUUCAGCUAUGCCUCCCACUUCACUGGGCAAGCUGUUCACCUUGCUGAAGUACUUCAAAUAAAAGUUUUGAUG